rnacentral:rRNA from 1 species
CGAUGGCGGGGGAGUAACUACUGGAAACGGUAGCUAAUACCGCAUAAUGUCUACGGACCAAAGCGGGGGACCUCCGGGCCUCGCGCCAUCAGAUGAACCCAUAUGGGAUUAGCUAGUAGGUAAGGUAACGGCUUACCUAGGCGACGAUCCCUAGCUGGUCUGAGAGGAUGAUCAGCCACACUGGGACCGAGACACGGCCCAG